AGUUCUCAACAGCCGAGAAGCCCAAGAUCUGCGCAGACGAGAAGCCCCAGAUCUUAGCGGACGAGGAGCCCCAGGUUUCGACAGCCGAGAAUCCCCAGAUCUUGGAGGACGAGAAGCCCCCUGUUUCCAAAGAUGAGAAGUCCUUGGUCUCUGAAGAUGAAAAGCCCCCGGUUUCCGAAGACGAAAAGCCCCCGGUUUCCGAAGACGAGAUGCCCCUGGUUUCUGAUGACGAGAAGCCCCUGGUUUCUGAAAAUGAGAAGCCACGCAUCUCAUUAGACAAGAAGCCCCGUGUCUCAACAGAUGAGAAACCCAUACCCUUAUCCGUGGUGGAUGCAACACUAUCAGAGCCAGUAACAUCUAGAGUCAAU
rnacentral:lncRNA from 1 species